AGUGAACGCUGGCGGUAGGCCUAACACAUGCAAGUCGAACGGCAGCACAGUAAGAGCUUGCUCUUACGGGUGGCGAGUGGCGGACGGGUGAGGAAUACAUCGGAAUCUACUUUUUCGUGGGGGAUAACGUAGGGAAACUUACGCUAAUACCGCAUACGACCUACGGGUGAAAGCAGGGGAUCUUCGGACCUUGCGCGAUUGAAUGAGCCGAUGUCGGAUUAGCUAGUUGGCGGGGUAAAGGCCCACCAAGGCGACGAUCCGUAGCUGGUCUGAGAGGAUGUACAGGCCCACCGGGAAUGAAACACGGGGCCAGCCCCCCAAGGGGGGCAGAAGUGGGGAAAAUGGGAAAAGGGGGGAAAGCCUAACCCAGCCAUACCGGGUGGGUGAAAAAGGCCUUCGGGUUGGAAAGCCCUUUUGUUGGGAAAAAAAAGCAGCAGGUUAAUACCCCGUUUUUCGGACGGUACCCAAAGAAUAAGCACGGGCUAAUUUCGU
rnacentral:rRNA from 1 species